rnacentral:rRNA from 1 species
UUAAAUUGAAGAGUUUGAUCAUGGCUCAGAUUGAACGCUGGCGGCAGGCUUAACACAUGCAAGUCGAACGGUAACAUGAGUGCUUGCACUUGAUGACGAGUGGCGGACGGGUGA